rnacentral:rRNA from 1 species
AGACCCGAAACCCGGUGAUCUAGCCAUGGGCAGGUUGAAGGUUGGGUAACACUAACUGGAGGACCGAACCGACUAAUGUUGAAAAAUUAGCGGAUGACCUGUGGCUGGGGGUGAAAGGCCAAUCAAACCGGGAGAUAGCUGGUUCUCCCCGAAAGCUAUUUAGGUAGCGCCUCGUGAAUUCAUCUCCGGGGGUAGAGCACUGUUUCGGCUAGGGGGCCAUCCCGGCUUACCAACCCGAUGCAAACUGCGAAUACCGGAGAAUGUUAUCACGGGAGACACACGGCGGGUGCUAACGUCCGUCGUGAAGAGGGAAACAACCCAGACCGCCAGCUAAGGUCCCAAAGUCAUGGUUAAGUGGGAAACGAUGUGGGAAGGCCCAGACAGCCAGGAUGUUGGCUUAGAAGCAGCCAUCAUUUAAAGAAAGCGUAAUAGCUCACUGGUCGAGUCGGCCUGCGCGGAAGAUGUAACGGGGCUAAACCAUGCACCGAAGCUGCGGCAGCGAACGUAUCACCCAAGACAACUUUACGGAGUUGACGAUUGACGGAGCGAAGCGACGUCAAAGCGUUCAUUAAAGUCGAGUUGGCUUAGGGAUACGUUCGUUGGGUAGGGGAGCGUUCUGUAAGCCUGUGAAGGUGUGUCGUGAGGCAUGCUGGAGGUAUCAGAAGUGCGAAUGCUGACAUAAGUAACGAUAAAGCGGGUGAAAAGCCCGCUCGCCGGAAGACCAAGGGUUCCUGUCCAACGUUAAUCGGGGCAGGGUGAGUCGACCCCUAAGGCGAGGCCGAAAGGCGUAGUCGAUGGGAAACGGGUUAAUAUUCCCGUACUUGGUGUUACUGCGAAGGGGGGACGGAGAAGGCUAUGUUGGCCGGGCGACGGUUGUCCCGGUUUAAGCGUGUAGGUGUGUGUUCCAGGUAAAUCCGGUUCACUUUAACACUGAGGCGUGACGACGAGGCACUACGGUGCUGAAGCAACAAAUGCCCUGCUUCCAGGAAAAGCCUCUAAGCAUCAGGUAACAUCAAAUCGUACCCCAAACCGACACAGGUGGUCAGGUAGAGAAUACCAAGGCGCUUGAGAGAACUCGGGUGAAGGAACUAGGCAAAAUGGUGCCGUAACUUCGGGAGAAGGCACGCUGACACGUAGGUGAAGUGAUUUACUCAUGGAGCUGAAGUCAGUCGAAGAUACCAGCUGGCUGCAACU